rnacentral:rRNA from 1 species
UACAGAGGGGGCAAGCGUUGUUCGGAAUUACUGGGCGUAAAGGGCGCGUAGGCGGCCUUCUAAGUCGAACGUGAAAUCCCCGGGCUCAACCCGGGAACUGCGUCCGAUACUGGAAGGCUUGAAUCCGGGAGAGGGAUGCGGAAUUCCAGGUGUAGCGGUGAAAUGCGUAGAUAUCUGGAGGAACACCGGUGGCGAAGGCAGCACCCUGGACCGGCACUGACGCUGAGGCGCGAAAGCCAGGGGAGCAAACGGG